AUGACAAUGGACUUUGGGAAUGGCAGGGGUCUUCGAAUCAAUCGUGAUGCAGUUCAUCACAUUUUUGGUUUUCCUAUGGGACAUCGCACUGCACCCAUACCUGCUACUAGUGGCCAUGAUGAGUCGUUGACUGCCCUCAAGGAUGAGAUUGUCUUUGACUGUUCACAAAGUAUUGGUGUCAUGGACUUGGUUCAAAAGCUGGCGGUGUUAGUGGAGGAUGAUGAUCCUGUCAUGGUUGAUCUUGCUCUCAAGGUAUUCUUCCUGAUACUUUAUCAGAAUUUGAUGUGCCCCAUGCUUGCAAUUCAUUUGGGCAAGGUUGCUGCCAUGGUUAAGAACAUGGAUUAUGCUGCUAUGGCGCAGAUGGACUUUUGUCAGCUUGUUCUUGAUGAGAUGCAGGUAGCUGUUGUGAAGUGGCAGACAGAAGGUAGCAAGAAGAAUUGUGCCGAGGGUUGUGACAUUGUCCCCCUGAUUAUGUAUCUUGAUUGCAUGAAGCUUCGCAAAUUUUUGGUUAUGCACACGUUGAUGCCACAUGCGUCAUUCCUGACGAACAAGGACCUGAUGAAGUUAUACAACAAGGAUAUGCUUGUCAAGCAAAAGAUUUAUCUCGAAACUUACAAAUUUGAGAGGUUGCCGGCGUUAGGCGAUAUUGUGUACAAGUGUCCUAACGCAGUGCUAUGUGGCAGCUCUGAUGCGGAGCCUAGCAGUCAAGCUAAGUUCUAUGAGCGUAUCUAUAGCCAGCUUCCUGCCCGUGAUGAUGAGGCGCCACCUACUCGUGGUUUCAUGGCUCGUCGGAUGUUUGAUAAUAGAAGCUCUUCUAAACAGACAUUUGUUGGUGGAAAAAAGCACGAGGAGAUUGAUGAGCUUCUUCCGAAGGUUUUGAAGUUAACUGAAGAUUUGCCAGCCUCUGAUGACAGGUUGAGGACAGUUGCUGGAUUUUUCCCUGCUGGCCACGGCCCCCGUGAAGAAUAUAUUGUUGCUGCUCACAACUUUGAUUGUGGUGUGGUUGAAAGCUUGAAGAUUGCAGUGACGAAUACUUGGUCUUCAUAUGCUCAGCUGAAACAUUCACAGGAAGAAAUAUGUGCUCGGUUUGAGAAGGAUGUUGGGCAUAUUUUGGAACAAAUGAACCGACAGGACGCUGGCGUCGGUGCUGAUAAUGCUGUAGUGGAAUCUGCUGGUGUUCAUGCGUCUAGGGACGAUGGAAUUGGUCAUACUGGAGUUGCUGCUUGUGAUGUGCACAAGGAUUCUUCCGACGGUUCUGAGAAGGAUGAGGACUUGGCUGAUACGUCAUCCCGUCCAGAUGUUGCAGUUGAUAAGUUUUUACAGCCUGGAGAUGAAAAUGUAGAAGUUCAUCAAUUGGUUGGCAUUGUUCGUGUUGAUGUGAACCAGAGGGGUUGUGCUGUUGCUGGUGGUGAAAGUGUGAAUGCUUCUGUAUCAGUUGCCGUUGAUAGUGCAGAACCUUCUGUAGCUCAGGAAUCCCACCAUGUUGUUGCCCCUAGUCGGCAUGAAGAUGCUGAUGUUGACAUUGAAAAGCCAUUGGAGAAUGUCCUUCCCGCUGAUAGUGUUGCUGGUUCUCCUGUUUGUCUAGCGUCCAAAGAUGUUCCUAAUGUAUUCACAGUGGAGCCUCAUGCAGCUGAAUUAUUUGAGGAUGUUGUGGCUGACUGGACUGUUGAAAAUCCAAACAACGUUGAUGUUGCUACAGUAGGGCAGUCCAGUGAGGCUGUGGUGGUUUCGUCGCAACCUAGCCGGGAAAAUGUUAUGGUUAGUUCUGAAGAGCAAGAGCAUGAAUACUCUGACACUGAAGGCAAGUGUUUUGUUUCGAACAGUGAAGUUGAAGUUUUCUCAUUCAUUUUUAAUUACUAUGAUGACGAACUUCCUGUUGUGACACCGUCGAGCAUUGAUCUAGCUCUUCUGAAAAGAUACAAUGAGUUGUACACUGCUGUUACCAGGGUUCGGAGGGACAAAAAGAAGGACAUGAUUGCUUUUAAAAAGUUGGCCGAAAUUACCAUUGGUGAAGUUGGUCAAUCUUUUUGGGAUAAAGGGAUGCUCACUACAGGCCUUGUAGAUCUCGGGGUUUCUUUGCUGGUAGAUAAGUUUAAGGGAUCUCCGACGAUGGUUGUUCCGUACCAUAUUUGUGACAUGGAGAGAGAGGGAGAAGGGGCAGGGAAGCUCACCUUGAACGGUGCAGAGGGGAAGAAGGGGAGCUCGGGGUUGGCGGCGAGGCCGUGCGGCGACCUCCACCCAGCAGACAGCAAGCGCGAUGCGGCGGCAUGCCGAGACAGCAGGGUCGAGGAGCAAAGCUUAGUGCGGCUGCCGCCUGAGUCGCUGCCUAGGUCGCCGCCGCCAUCUCUAUAUGCAGAGCGGCUGUUGUUUUUACGGAUAUCCGUGGAGCGGCUGUUUACACGUGCCAUUAGUAGUUCCCAACCGUUAGCUUAUGUCCACAGUUUCCCCAUUUCCCCCAAAUCCCUACAUAGCCUCCAAAUUCCCUUGCAUGACGCUGACAUUGGGGGAAUGCGGACGAGUGGUGCUGAUGGUUUCGGUGCGGCUGCUCCUGCUCGUAUCGCCGCCACGAUGGCGGUUGCCGCUGAGCACUUGCCUAAGGUCAUCAGAAGGCAGGUGUACUACGGAUCCGAAUCAUCCUGUCAGGAAAGCGAUCUGCCGCCGGAUCCGGAGCUUGACUCCAGACUCCCGCAACACGAGUUCGACUCUGAGUUUUGCGCCAUCGAGAAGUACCAAAAGCUGAGUUGUGUGCACGGGCACACUCCCGCUCGACGUGUAUGCACGGAGGGACUCGACAUUGGCAGGCGGUUUCUCAGCUACCCCUUAGAGGGAUAUGAGGCUUGUGCCUUUCUUAACUGGCUGGAUGAAGAAUGGCAUGGCAGGGCUCGGAGUGUUAUCACCAAGCUCGCAGAAGAUAACAUAAAGCUGAAGAAGAAACUGGCCGAUCUGGAAUUUCCUCUUCUCUGCAUACCCCGCUUAAGUGUCCACCAUCUUCAUCGUCCCCGGCAGGCCGCGCUACACACUGGCACACAAUCUGCAGCCAUGUCGAGCGAUAGCAAGGACGACAGUUCCGCCAGCAGUCACGCGCCCGAUGAUAGGUCAACAUCGGAAUCAUCCUGCUCGUCUUCCAUGAGUCCGAUGUCGAGCCCAGACCUCGAUUAUAUCCGGUUCAUGGAAGGAACGCCGCCUCCGGAGUCGUCAGACGGCAACCAGGCGGACGAGGAGCGGUCGGAGGACGAAGAAGAGGACGACGAUGAUGAUGAGGAGGAAUGGUCGAAUGAGGAGGACAAUGACGCCAGCAACGACGAUGACAACGGCAGCGGCGAUGAAAAGCCAACGGUCAUCGGCAAGAAGUGUCCUCGCCAAGACGAUAUCACGGGGCCAUCCAACAAGAACAACAAGAAGAAGAAGGACUAA
rnacentral:rRNA from 1 species